rnacentral:rRNA from 1 species
GACGUAGGGCGCGAGCGUUGUCCGGAUUUAUUGGGCGUAAAGAGCUCGUAGGCGGCUCAUUGCGUCAACCGUGAAAACUUGUGGCUCAACUACAAGCUUGCGGUUGAUACGGGUGGGCUGGAGUUCGGUAGGGGAGACUGGAAUUCCUGGUGUAGCGGUGAAAUGCGCAGAUAUCAGGAGGAACACCGGUGGCGAAGGCGGGUCUCUGGGCCGAUACUGACGCUGAGGAGCGAAAGCAUGGGGAGCGAACAGG